CAAAUCCCAAAUUGAAAUCAUCUCCGUCUCUCUCCCUCAACUUCUCCUUGCAGUUCCAGACUUCCAGUCUUCCAGCUCCAGAAUCCUAGAUUUCCUCUUCGCGGCUUGGCUAGUUGGCUUCGCUCAGUUCGCUGGAGCCUGGAGUCCCACUGGCCACUGUCUCAGACUCCCAGUGAGUUCAAACACCGAGUGGCCUCUUGCCUCCAAUGCCCACAGGCCAUAGCGUGAUUUUUCAAACACUCUUUAUACCUGGGCUUCAUCUGAGAUUUGACAUAUGGCUUUUGACUUCUGUCGAGUGGUUGGGUAUUUUUGUUGUCGAACGAGUUAGUUCGAGUUCCCUUCCCAAGUGACAACUCUUUUACCAUUUACAUUUACGCAUUUACUUAUUAUAAUUUUGAUGGCUUGAUUUUAAUUGAUAAAUGGUCUUUUUUAUUCUUCAUGGGCCGUGGUGUAUACUGUAAUUGGAGAGAGGCUCGUGACUCGUCGUCUCGUCCAUUAUGAAGUAUUUUUCUUCUUGUUUUGAAAUUUUCUUGAAUUUCAGAGAAGUUCUUGGAAAGAGUUGUGAAGGGAAAGGGAAAUUAGGAAUGGAAUGGCUGACAAAUGUUGAGUGUUAAACUUUGAAGAGGGUUUAUCACAAAUUAAAAUGGAAGUGUAGUGCAGGUGUUGGAAUUGGUAGCGAAAUGUCCAGUGGAGUUAGAGAUAAUGUUGUAGAGGAUUUACAUAUAAGAGAUUCGGCAACUCGGGUGCCAAAAAAACUGACAAGGGAAGAGGAGGGUAUAUAAGGAAUAUCACUAUGCAUAACAUAACAAUGGAGAGAGUCAAAGUACUAUAAGAUUUAGUAGAGGUGCAAAUGACCACCCUGAUGAGAAAUUUGAUCCUAAAGCCUUACCAAAAGUUCAUGGGAUUUCUAUAGUUGUGUGGUUAGUAAUAGUGUGGAUUCGAGAAAAGCUCCCUUCCUACUGGGUAUAGAAGGUGCCCCAUUUGAGGAUAUUUGCAUGAAAAAUGUUGGUAUACAAGGUUUAUACCCUUCUAUAAGUUGGAACUGUGAGUUUAUCUUGGGUUUUAGUGAAGGAGUGUAAUAUGAAAUUAAUGAACAUAAUUAUUUAAAUUUCGUUUCCAAGAAUUCCAGAAGAAAAAUAAUUUUUUUUUUGUAUGUAUUUAUAGAUAAUAAACUGUAUACAUAGUGUAAGGUUUACUUUGUUGAAAAUGCACUGACGAG
rnacentral:lncRNA from 1 species